rnacentral:misc_RNA from 1 species
GUAGGUAUGUUAUAUCGAGAAAUCCCCUUCUACCUUGUGACUCUUGACUAAUAACUUUAAUAGGUGAACCUGCGGAAGGAUCAUUACUGAGUUAGGGUCCUCUGGGCUCGACCUCCAACCCUUUGUCUACCUUACCUCUUGUUGCUUCGGCGGGCCCGUCCCCUCUAGAAAUAGAGGACGACCGCCGGAGGGUGUCAUGCCCUCUGGCCCGCGCUCGCCGAUGGCCCCCAACCUAAAACUCUUGUUUUAA